GACGAACGCUGGCGGCGUGCUUAACACAUGCAAGUCGAACGGUAAGGCCCUUCGGGGUACACGAGUGGCGAACGGGUGAGUAACACGUGGGUGAUCUGCCCUGCUCUUCGGGAUAAGCCUGGGAAACUGGGUCUAAUACCGGAUAGGACCACUGCCUGCAUGGGUGGUGGUGUAAAGCUUUUGCGGUUGGGGAUGGGCCCGCGGCCUAUCAGCUUGUUGGUGUGGUGGUGGCCUACCAAGGCGACGACGGGUAGCCGGACUGAGAGGGUGACCAGCAAAGACGGGACUGAGAUACGGCACAACCUCCUACGGGAGGCAGCAGUGGGGAAUAUUGCACAAUGGGCGCAAGCCUGAUGCAGCGACGCCGCGUGAGGGAUGACGGCCUUCGGGUUGUAAACCUCUUUCAGCACCGACGAAACGCAAGUGACGGUAGGUGCAGAAGAAGGACCGGCCAACUACGUGCCAGCCGCCGCCGUAA
rnacentral:rRNA from 1 species